GAUCGGGCAGGUGCCCGGGCAGGAGGGAGGCGGCCCGGGUGCGGUGAUGAUUUAACAACAAUCACCAGCAAUUGUUUUUUUAUCAUUGAAAUUCAGCUUUGAUUACUCAAUUUACAAAACUGGAUUUUUGUUAUGUUUCAGCAUUGAAUACUGCCUCUCAAGAGCCACAUGAUGAGCAUGAGCAUCACUGUCACCAUGAUCAUGACCACAAACAUGGUUAGCAUAGUAUGAUGAACAAUGCAUAAAUGUGGUUACCAUCAAAUUAUGAAGCAUUGAAACUCAUGUAAAAUAGUUUCAUGUCUCAGUAUAGAAGCACUUCUCGUGGAUACCCGGAUGGUCAUUGAAAAAGGAAACUAUCUAUCCAUUCUCAAAUACUCCCUCCGUUCCUAAAUAUUUGUCUUUCUAGACAUUUCAAAUGACUACCACAUACGGAUGUAUGUAGACAUAUUUUAGAGUGUAGAUUCACUCAGUUUGCUUCGUAUGUAGUCACUUGUUGAAAUGCCUAGAAAGACAAGUAUUUAGGAACGGAGGGAGUACACUUUAUUUUGUACCCUACUCUUCUUUAUGGCAGCAUAAAGUUAUACUUAAUGACAACCUACUGUUUGUGAAAAAUUGCUUAUGCUCAUGUAGAUUAUGUGUUACAAUAAUUACCUUGUACAAAGGGCACCCAUGGCAUGAUUUUGCCAAACACAUGACUAAAUCUUUCUGCAUGGCUCUGGAUUUAUGAGUUCAGGGAUCUCUAUUGUUGAUAGAGGGAGCCUGGAAACAUAGGAAAAACUUCAUAGUUACUUGGAAUCAAAAUCCUGAAUUAAGAAAUGUACUUUGCCAAUCUGCUUGGAGCCUUGGAUGCUGUUCAGAAAGGAGAGAUGGGACAGUUUUGAUGUUUCACUGAAAUGCAGUACUUAAUAUGCCAUAUCUUAGUCAUGGUAAUGCUGUCAUAAUAAGAAGUGAACUCAAUGUUUUUGCUUCUUGUAGACCAUCAUGAGCAUGAUCACACCCAUGACCCUGGUGUUUCCUCUGUUAAGCAUUGUUUGCGAAGGGGAGAUGGAUCUCUAAAAGUAAAAGUGCUGACACUGACAUAUGCCAGAUGAAGGGACUACUCUCUAUCAGUGGAAUGCCUAAACGCUUUGCCUUUCAGAUUUGCACAAAUGGGAGAACAAAUUGCUACGUGUUCUGCUGCCCUCUCGUUAUGGACUGCUUCCAUGUUAUCCAUCUGCAAGGAGUGUGUAUGACACUUUACAUGGAUCUCCCAACAGAUCGAAUGUGCCGGGCUUCCAGGAUUGCCUACUGAAGGAAUAGGCCAGAGACACCAAGUUUCUCCGUUUCUCCGUUUCUUCUUUUUGGCGGCCGGGGUGGAUCUCCAGCUCCAUGAUUUUGAGCUUUGCGGCUGCAUCCACUAGUAGGAAAAGGGGCUUUUACCCCGGUUCA